GGAGCAAGGUUGCAGAAGGGGGAGAACAAAUGGUUUGUUGUUAAUGAAUCCACAAAUGUUGUUUUUUUUCCCCAGCGUCGUGACAUUCACUGCUAACAGCGGUUCUGCUCAGAACUACCUGAAAAUUCCCAUCAGCGUUAUUCCUGAAAUAGCUUUGGAGACUGAUGAGGUUCCACCUGUGUACAAACUCAGAGAAUUUUUCAUGCCUUGUAGGGGCAACAUCCAGAGUGAACCAGUCUGUCGUCGUCAUACUUGGCAAAUGUCAUUCACUGC